GGGCUGCACCAGACUCUGGGGGGAGGUGAGCUCACAAAGGACCUUGGGUCUGGCUUGGGCCAGGUCACGCUUGAUAGCAGAUGCCCUGUCCCACUGUCACAUCCUGAUUUCUGGUCCACAAAACCUGGUCACCCGAAAGCCCACCGUCCCACCCUCAGAGAAUGUACAGUCAAGGCUUUUUCUUCCUCCUAUAACUCUGGAGACUAGAAAGGUCAGGUUGACACCAAGGCGAGGGGUAGGAACCUGACCUGCCCGAUGGCAUGUAACGACAUGGACCCAAGCCAGAAUCACACCCAGGCCUGGCUGGUUUCAAAUCCUGUGCCCGCCAGCCCCAGGCUGCAUCAAGAACUAGAGCAGUCCCCUCCUGCAAGGCCACGCAAGCACACACACAGAAGGGAAUCUUUCCGGAGGGGUGGCACAGAGGCCCGGACGGCUGGCCCUGGUGAAUCUACCUGUUCCAUGGCACAGGGGCCUACCAUCCAGCACAGCCAAGGAGUGGGGUCUUCACCAAGUACUUGCGUGAUGAACAUGAGCCCAGGGCUCGGGGCUGGGGACCACCAGGCCACCUUGGGAGAAUUCAGGGAGGUUCUAAAACACAUCUGUUUGUGGAACCCCUACUUGUUCUCUUUGGUUCCCUUUGGUCCCUUUGGUUCCACCAAAGGACCUACAUGCAAACUUAUCUCCAGAGAUGGGGAGAGGCUGGAUGGGGCAGCGGGUGCUCUGUCCCCACAGAGA